rnacentral:rRNA from 1 species
CAAUAGCGUAUAUUAAAGUUGUUGCGGUUAAAAAGCUCGUAGUUGGAUUUCUGCUGAGAACGACCGGUCCGCCCUCUGGGUGUGUAUCUGGCUCUUUCUUGGCAUCUUCUUGGUGAACGUUGCUGCACUUGACUGUGUGGAGCGCUACCCAGGACUUUUACUUUGAGGAAAUUAGAGUGUUUCAAGCAGGCAUACGCCUUGAAUACAUUAGCAUGGAAUAAUAAGAUAGGACCUCGGUUCUAUUUUGUUGGUUUCUAGAGCUGAGGUAAUGAUUAAUAGGGAUAGUUGGGGGCAUUAGUAUUUAAUUGUCAGAGGUGGAAUUCUCAGAUUUGUUAAAGACUAACUUAUGCGAAAGCAUUUGCCAAGGAUGUUUUCAUUAA